rnacentral:rRNA from 1 species
UACGUAGGGGGCAAGCGUUGUCCGGAUUUAUUGGGCGUAAAGAGCGUGUAGGCGGCCUGAAAGGUCAGCUGUGAAAACUCGAGGCUCAACCUCGAGACGUCGGUUGAAACCAUCUGGCUAGAGUCCGGAAGAGGAGUGUGGAAUUCCCGGUGUAGCGGUGAAAUGCGCAGAUAUCAGGAGGAACACCGAUGGGCGAAGGCAGAUCUCUGGGCCGUAACUGACGCUGAGGAGCGAAAGCAUGGGGAGCGAACAGGG